UCAAGUGACUUAAGGGCAUCUGGUGGAUGCCUUGGCGGUAAGAGGCGAUGAAGGACGUGGUACGCUGCGAUAAGCUUGGGGAAGGUGCGAACAGCCGUUGAUCCCAAGAUCUCCGAAUGGGGAAACCCACCUUCAGCAUCUUGAAAUUCGCAUCCUGAAGCAAUUCAGGGUUCGGAUUUCAGGGUGUUGGUAAAAGGUAUCUAACCCUGAAUACAUAGGGGUUUAGAAGCAAACCCAGGGAACUGAAACAUCUAAGUACCUGGAGGAAAGGACAUCAACCGAGACUCCGCUAGUAGUGGCGAGCGAACGCGGACUAGGCCAGUGCUCUGACAAAACAAACUGGAACCUUCUGGAAAGUUGGGCCAUAGCGGGUGAUAGCCCCGUACAGGUAAAGUCAGUCAGAGACUCGAGUAGGGCGGGACACGUGAAAUCCUGUCUGAACAUGGGGGGACCACCCUCCAAGCCUAAGUACUCCUUACCGACCGAUAGCGCACCAGUACCGUGAGGGAAAGGUGAAAAGCACCCCGACGAGGGGAGUGAAAUAGAACCUGAAACCGGAUGCCUACAAACAGUCGGAGCCCGCAAGGGUGACGACGUACCUUUUGUAUAAUGGGUCUGCGACUUAGUCUGACGAGCAAGCUUAAGGCGAUAGCUGUAGGCGAAGCGAAAGCGAGUCUGAACAGGGCGUUCAGUUCGUCGGAUUAGACCCGAAACCUGUCGAUCUUGCCAUGGUCAGGUUGAAAGCAGGGUAACACCUGCUGGAGGACCGAACCGGUGUCUGUUGAAAAAGCCUCGGAUGAACUGUGGCAAGGGGUGAAAGGCCAAUCAAGGCAGGAAAUAGCUGGUUCUCCGCGAAAUCUAUUUAGGUAGAGCCUCAGAUGAACACUCCAGGGGGUAGAGCACUACAUGGGCUAGGGGCCCCCACAGGGUUACCAAACCUAAGUAAACUCCGAAUACCUGGAAGUGCUAUCUGGGAGACACACGGCGGGUGCUAACGUCCGUCGUGAAAAGGGAAACAACCCUGAUCGUCAACUAAGGUCCCCAAGUCACGGCUAAGUGUGAAAGGAUGUGGGAACCCCAUAACAACCAGGAGGUUGGCUUAGAAGCAGCCAUCCUUUAAAGAAAGCGUAACAGCUCACUGGUCUAAACAAGGGUUUCUGCGCCGAAAAUGUAACGGGGCUUAAGCUAUGCACCGAAGACGCGGGCUCGAGCAAUCGAGCGGUAGCGGAGCGUUCCGUAAGCCUGUGAAGGGAGACCCGUGAGGGCUCCUGGAGGUAUCGGAAGUGCGAAUGCAGACAUGAGUAACGACAGGAGUGUGAGAAACACUCCCGCCGAAAGUCCAAGGGUUCCUGCGUAAAGUUAAUCUGCGCAGGGUUAGCCGGCCCCUAAGGCGAGGGCGAAAGCCGUAGUCGAUGGGAACCACGUUAAUAUUCGUGGGCCAGUGGGUGAGUGACGGAUGCUGUGUGUUGUCGGGGAUUAUCGGAUUUCUCCCGGCAGCGAAGGUGUCCCAGGAAAUAGCCCCCACAUAGACCGUACCCGAAACCGACACAGGUGGACUGGUAGAGAAUACCAAGGCGCUUGAGCGAAGUGUGCUGAAGGAACUCGGCAAAUUACCUGCGUAACUUCGGGAGAAGCAGGCUAUCCGCCUGGGCAACCAGGUGGGUAGGGCACAGACCAGGGGGUGGCGACUGUUUACCUAAAACACAGGGCUAUGCUAAGUCCAACGACGACGUAUAUGGCCUGACGCCUGCCCGGUGCUGGAAGGUUAAGAGGAGAGGUGCAAGCCUUGAAUCGAAGCCCCAGUAAACGGCGGCCGUAACUAUAACGGUCCUAAGGUAGCGAAAUUCCUUGUCGGGUAAGUUC
rnacentral:rRNA from 1 species